CCCUUAGAUGUUCUGGGCCGCACGCGCGCUACACUGUUCGACGCAGCGAGUCUUAACCUUGACCGAAAGGUUUGGGUAAUCUUCAGCAAAGUCGAACGUGAUGGGGAUCGAUCAUUGCAAUUAUUGAUCGUGAACGAGGAAUUCCUAGUAAGUGCAAGUCAUCAGCUUGCGCUGAUUACGUCCCUGCCCUUUGUACACACCGCCCGUCGCUACUACCGAUUGAAUGGUUUAGUGAGAUCUCUGGAUUGACGCUGGCUAGGGGGCGACCCUUGGCCAGACUGCUCGAGAAACUGCUCAAACUUGAUCAUUUAGAGGAAGUAAAAGUCAUAACA
rnacentral:rRNA from 1 species